rnacentral:rRNA from 1 species
CACGCCCUAAACGAUGCGAACUAGGUGUUGGGGAAGGAGACUUCUUUAGUACCGUAGCUAACGCGUGAAGUUCGCCGCCUGGGGAGUACGGUCGCAAGAUUAAAACUCAAAGGAAUUGACGGGGACCCGCACAAGCGGUGGAUGAUGUGGAUUAAUUCGAUGCAACGCGAAAAACCUUACCUACCCUUGACAUGCCCGGAACCCUGCUGAGAGGCGGGGGUGCCCGAAAGGGAAUCGGGACACAGGUGC